rnacentral:rRNA from 1 species
AGUGAACGCUGGCGGUAGGCCUAACACAUGCAAGUCGAACGGCAGCACAGUAAGAGCUUGCUCUUACGGGUGGCGAGUGGCGGACGGGUGAGGAAUACAUCGGAAUCUACUUUUUCGUGGGGGAUAACGUAGGGAAACUUACGCUAAUACCGCAUAUGACCUACGGGUGAAAGCAGGGGAUCUUCGGACCUUGCGCGAUUGAAUGAGCCGAUGUCGGAUUAGCUAGUUGGCGGGGUAAAGGCCCACCAAGGCGACGAUCCGUAGCUGGUCUGAGAGGAUGAUCAGCCACACUGGAACUGAGACACGGUCCAGACUCCUACGGGAGGCAGCAGUGGGGAAUAUUGGACAAGGGGCGCAAGCCUGAUCCAGCCAGACCGCGUGGGUGAAGAAGGCCUUCGGGUUGUAAAGCCCUUUUGUUGGGAAAGAAAAGCAGCAGGUUAAGACCCCGCUGUUCUGACGGUACCCAAAGAAUAAGCACCGGCUAACUUCGU